rnacentral:rRNA from 1 species
AGUGAACGCUGGCGGUAGGCCUAACACAUGCAAGUCGAACGGCAGCACAGGAGAGCUUGCUCUCUAGGUGGCGAGUGGCGGACGGGUGAGGAAUACAUCGGAAUCUGCCCAGUCGUGGGGGAUAACGUAGGGAAACUUACGCUAAUACCGCAUACGACCUUCGGGUGAAAGAGGGGGAUCGCAAGACCUCUCGCGAUUGGACGAGCCGAUGUCGGAUUAGCUAGUUAGCGGGGUAAUGGCCCACCAAGGCGACGAUCCGUAGCUGGUCUGAGAGGAUGAUCAGCCACACUGGAACUGAGACACGGUCCAGACUCCUACGGGAGGCAGCAGUGGGGAAUAUUGGACAAUGGGCGCAAGCCUGAUCCAGCCAUACCGCGUGGGUGAAGAAGGCCUUCGGGUUGUAAAGCCCUUUUGUUGGGAAAGAAAUCUUUCAGGCUAAUACCCUGGGAGGAUGACGGUACCCAAAGAAUAAGCACCGGCUAACUUCGUG